rnacentral:tRNA from 1 species
GGAGGCGUAAGGGCGCCUGGUGGCCCUCCCGGUCUUCAAAACCGAGGUGUCCGAGCAGCUCGGGCAGGUGGGUUCGAUUCCCAUCCGUCUCCGCCA